rnacentral:lncRNA from 1 species
UAAAACAAUAUUGAAAUCUUCUUUUGAUUUGGGUUAGAGUUAUUCAAACUACAUUGAAGAUCAUAGAUUAAGUAUUUAGUAUGGUGUUGAGAAUAGCCAUAAAUUCUUAUAGCUCUCCGUUUAUUUGAAUUAUUAAGCAUACAAAUGUUCAUAUAUAUGUAGUUUGAGUCAACAUUUAAAUAUCAAUACUUAGAGAAUCAUUCCAAAAUAAGCAACACCAUUUGAUAUACCUCCAUCAGAUCUGAAACAACUAACAACUUUGAACAAAAUAAGGUUCCCUAUUUUAUGAAAUGAACUAAGCAAUUUAUGGCUCAGAUCUCUUGGUCUCCAAUAAACAACCUAAGUUCGCUCUGUUGGACAAAAUGAACUAUUUAGAGCUCUAAUUGUAUGUGGGUUGUUUAGCCCACAACAACUCCAAGAGAGCAACCUCGUUGUUCACGGUUAGUGUUGCUUAGCAUGGCCAGCUGCAAGUUUAGUUGAGAAGUUGGAGUUAGCAAUAUUGAUAUAUUGGUAGAAAACAUCACGAGCUUAUCUUAUUCGAC